GUUUGAACUGAACAUAAUGAAAAUAGGAAUUCAUACAAGUGAAGCACUAUUAGCCUCUAUGGAGUACACUGCAUGUUGGGGAAAAAGACAAUUACUUACAAGGAGAUGUUAUGUAGAGCACUAGGCUGAUUAGAAAAGAGAUGGGACUCAUUGAUUUACCUAAACCUUUCACAUAAUUCACUUACAAUCCACCAGGAACAUUUUCAUUACCAUAAUCUAGAGUAUCUUGAACUUAAAUUUAACUUCCUUCAAAGAUGUCUAUUCUUUUCUAUGUGAUUUUAGCAGUUUUACCCUUCUGAAUUCAUCACACAACAAACUGAGUAAUCCAGUUCUACAAUGCAUAGUUGAACUAUUGUUACUAGACUUGAGAAGGAACAAUUUCACUGAGAGCCUUCCACCAUUAUGUUCUCUGAGUACUUCAUUCAUGACUAUUGUCUUGGAUGACAAUCAAUCGGAAGGAACUACCCUAUUUCAUUGCACAAUUUAAAGAUAUUUUUCAUGUUUGUGUCAUCUGGUAUCAUCAUUCUCCAGCUUUCAUAAACUUUUGAAAGCAGUAAGCAACUGAAGUUGUUAGGAGAAAGAUCAAAAAUCCGCAACAUGGGGAAGCAAAAGUAGUUUUGCUUUAGUCUGGGAACUUGUUCCACUUCAUAAGAAUCCGACUCUCCCAGAGACACCAGACAAGCUGGAAAUGUGUCAUUUAUAUUAUUAUUCCCCACAUCAAGGACUUCUCAACCAUACCAAUUGAACAAUGACAUAGGGUAGACCCUUUAAAUUGAUUACCAUUCAAGACAGUGGUCAUCAAUGAAGUGCUCUGAGAACAUAACGAUAGAAGACUACCACUGAAAUUGUUCUUUCUCAAGUUUAGAACCAAUAAUUCAGCCAUGAUGCCCAAGCAAUGUGGAGCCGACCCACUGAAGUUAUGUGAUAAAACCCAUAAGGCUAAAAGGUUGCUAAAGUAAAAAAUAUAGAAGACAGACAACCUUGCAGGAAGUUAAAAGUUACUUGUAAGAUCAAGAUUCUCUAGAUUACAGUGACAAAGUUGUUCUAGGUGAUUUGUAUGUGAAUUAUGUGAAAGGGUUAGGUGAACCAAUGAGUCAGCAUAUUUGUAUCAACUUAUUAUUCUAUAGAAAACCUCCUUGUAAGUUGUACAGAAGGAGAACAGAGAUCCCCUCAAGCUAUUGUUCACGAAUAAACAAGGUUCUCCCCAGUAAUGAACUUUCAGUUGAUGGGCUCACUUUAUAAUAGGGGUAUACAACUACAAGGAAUCUACUGACCUAAUAUGUUACAGAAGCACCUAAUUUCAUAUCACGGGGCUGCGCUUCAAGGAGCAGCUUCUUGCUCUCUGGAAUACUUCCAUGCAGCAUUCUCAAGUGUCACGAAGGGCCCGCACACGAUCUUGAAUCAGUUUCCUCUCCCAAUCUGCUACAUCCACAAAGGCAUAAUCUGGCAGAUUCUCAAAGGGCUCCUUCCACUGAUCAUUUUUAGCCAAAUCAUAGGUAGCACCUCGUAUUGACCUUUUGUUGGGACCACAGGGUCUCUUUGAAACAAGUGUAUCAUAGGCUGUAUUUAGAUCCAUUCCACAGAACCAGAACAUAUAAGCAAUUGAAACAGCAGGGGCCCUUCCCAAUCCAGCAGUGCAAUGUACAUACACUCUUCCUUUUCCUUCUGAAAUCGCCCACUCCAGUGAUGAAACAGCUUUAGGUAAUACACUCCUCAAGGAAUCUGGAUCAAAAUCUCUUGCAGGCCUUCUCAUGUGAUUAAUUCCAAGCUCUGAACAUCUUGUAACUAUAGACUGGAGAUCUAUUCCCCAAAACUCAAUAUCUUUGUCCUGCUGCAAGUUUAGUAUAAAAGAAACGUUCUCCUCUUCCUUCAAAUGAUCUAUAUCUUCGAUUUUUUGAGGCUGGGAGCCAACAAUUAGAUCUUCUGUUAUCAAUGUGUAGUUCAUUCCAAGUUCAUGGUGAUAUUCGUAAGGAUUCCUCAUCAUUCUCUUCAUAGCUAAGUUGUAUUCCUCCAUCUUCUUAUUACUACUGUAUCUACCAUGGUUUUCUUUAACUUCGCUGCAAGAAAUCUGGAAGGAUUUGUUGGUGAAGUUCCACAAGGAAUUUGCAUAUUUCUUGCUUGAACGAGAGAAUAAAAAUGGAUUAUUUUGAACUGGGGAGAAGCAGGUAGAGUUCCAGAGAGCUCCCAUGGUGCUUCUGUCAGCUUCCUAGAUUUUUCUAUGGUGGAUGGAUAGCCAUGUGAA
rnacentral:misc_RNA from 1 species